UUUUCUGGGGAUCCCUCCUUGAUGCAGCUUUCCCUUGUGAUCCUGAAAUCUUCUGAUACAGGGGUAUUACAACUAAUGUGGCAAGAGAAAUGCCCUGAGCAGACAUCUGGGAAUAGAUAAGAACAGCUAGUUUAUGUUUCUUGUUGUCAACACAUUGCUCAUGACCUUUAAGGAUGCCAUUUAUUAAAUUCAUUAACCAGAAGGCUCGUAAUCUUUACAUCGGGCGUUAUUUUUAAAAGGCAAGAUGUAAACUCAAGAAAUAUGUGUUACUACGUAGCUACUAUGUUAGUCUUAAUUAUUUUUACAAUGCUUUGAGAUGUCAUCUUAUGAAGAUUAAUAUUAUGAGAAUCAUAUUAUAUGAAUAAUAAUAAUUACUGUGUAAAAAAUCUUACUAAGAUAUUUUUUCCCCACACUUCAUAAGAUCUCAUGGCAUCUUAUCAGGUGCUCUAUUACACUCAAUGCAUAAGGCUGUAAAAAAUUGAAAUCUUUAUAUAAAAUGACACCAUUCACAAGGAAAGUAAAUGUGAAGCAAGUACUUAACAUUUAUGUUACCUACUCAGGAUUUUCUUGUGUUUAUUUUAAGCCCCAGAACUCAGUUUUCCUAGUGAAAAUUUUGGAAAUGAUGACAAACUUGAAUUUCACAGGAAGUCUUAAUAGAUUUCAGCAUUAAACCCAACUCUGUAUGUCCAGUCAAGUUAAUAAAAACUUUCCAUCUAGGUUUCUAAUCCAUUGCUAUUGAAAUGGGAGCACCAAGAAUUGAGUUUCCUCAGACUUAACAGACAACUUUUGCAGUAUUUCCUCCUUUCUUAUUUUUAGUGAAAAAUAUCUAACGUAAUAUCCAAGCCUCCCCUCAAAUUAAUUCAGUGUUUUGUGAGUCUAGGAUGUUGCUGGUUGUUUCAGCACUGCAGUGGCUUAUCCAGUUGUAAUACAUAUUAUGCUUAAUACAGAACAUAUCCAAUUUACUGGUCAACUGAAGCAUUUUGAAGCUUAUUGUUUUUUUUUUGUUCCAAUUCAGACAAAGAUACAACUUAGAAAAAUGAUGAGAUUAUUUCAUCUGGUUUUAGCUUGCUGUUCAUUUUACUGUUUGUUUUUGACAGAAACAGCAUCAUGCAUAGUAUAUAAUAUGAAAAGUGCUAUAAAUGCUUGUUCAGGCAGCAAUUUAGGCAGUUGGAGAAAGUGCAGAGAGGAAUGUAAAUGAGGCAAACUUCCAUUUUCAAGUUUAUAACACUUUGAUAAAUUUGAAGAGCAUUCAAGUUAUUUGCAGAUUCUGCAUUAAAAUUCAACUAAAGUUAUAU
ensembl:lncRNA